UUUGGGAUUGUGAGGUGUGGUAUUGUAGAACGAUUAGAGCUGGUUGGUUGCUUGAAGGGUGCAAUAGCUUCAAGUGGGUUUAAGGUGGAGUUCGAGAAGUUUGAUGGUAAGGAAAACUUUACCUUAUAGCAAGAGUGGGUGAAGGAUUUGUUGGUGUAGUAGUGGAUCUAUAAGGUCUUAGUAUGAGAAAGACUGGAAAAGAUCUUUACUGA
rnacentral:lncRNA from 1 species